UGGAGGAGUCACAUAUAGGACACCUCAGUGGAAAGCUCCAGCUGAGCUCCCAGCAUCAGCUGCCAGCCAUGGCUGGACUGGAGAAACAUCAAGUCCAGUCAAGAUUUGAGAUGACUCUAGUCCCAGCCGACAUUUGACUACAAUUUUGCAAGACUUCCCAAGUAAGAACUUCUCAGGUUCAGCACUCCUGUUGAAUUCGACUGGAUUCUGGAAAGAUAUUUGGACUCACUAUCAUAACAGAAGAGUGAUAAUAAAUAUAAAUACCUGAACCUGAAUUUCAACUUUGCUAUUCUUUAUGGAUGUGAUUUUUGACACAUUAUUUCCUGCCUAGGGGUGAAUACAUUUGGUGUACAUACAUUCAGAUAUGAAUAUACAGAUGCAUAUACAUUUUCAAUGUACCAGCUUUAAUGGAGAAGAACAAAGGAUAUUCAUUAAUUGGAGCUACAAAAAUCUCUUCAAGGACUUCCAUUUGCAUCAGAAUAAAGUCUGUCUUUCUUAGUCUAGCAUUCAAGGCCUUCUGAAUCUGACUUCGACUAU